ensembl:lncRNA
AAGUGCGGAGAAUUUAGUUUUCCUUUAUGUCGCUUUUCAUGUAAUUUCCUUUUGAUACUGAACAGCUUGUGCUGUAGAACCAAGAUGUCUCUGUGUCAUGUGUCUCUGCCUCCAUGUCACUUCUGUCUCCUCGAUUCUCUGUGUUUAGGGUGUGAAAUCAGCAGCAAGAUAUAGCUGAUUUCCAUCCAGUGAAUCAGGCAAUAAUCACUCAUACCCUCAACACGUUCUUUUCCAUAACAUAAAACACGGAAGAAAUAAGUCCUUGUCUGUUCAUAAGUCAGACAUAAUGCAUUCACAAAUGCACCUUUAACACCCCAAUGAGGAAAAUACAAUUGACAAGGCUCUGUAAACAAGAAGCAUAUCUGAAGCGUUAAUAUAGGCCAUUCUUUUCUUCUCUUUCAGAAAGAGAGCUGAAUGCACAACAUUUGUCUCAUUAUGCCUAGCAUGCUAUUGCUUUGCUUUUUCACAAUGGCAAGGUAACCUGCUGACACAGCUUGCCAAGCUCCUGCCUCCCUCAGUGGAUAUAUAAGCCAAGCUGAUGCAAAUGGCCUAUUGAAUUACUUUUGCUUGGCAGUCCUCCCAUACACAAGAUGAAGAGCAGCAACUUUGAUUUGUGGGACCUCUUCUCAUUUACUUCUUUUGUAGUGCAGUAUCUUUUGUUUGAGAAAUGGAUGCAUUCUGAAGGGAGAAUUUAAAUUCUGCCCUAUGAUCCUGUAGUGAAAAUCCUUUUCCUGCUGUUUGAGCUACCAUUCCUCUAGCAAAACAAGAUAUGCAAACACAUUCCUGAUGUCAGUGAGUCUGCUUAAAUAUUUGACAAAAUCAUGUGCCCAUGUUCUUACAAGUAUAUGGUUAAAUGUGCAGAACAAAAUUUGGUUUGGAAGAAACCAAGAUGGAAUGAGGAACAGAAGAGAAUAGUGGGCGCCCACUAGUGUCUUCCCAGAUGACAUGAGGUGUGAGCAUGUCUUCUAGUGCAACAGAGUGGCGUCUCAAAACCAAUUGCCAUGUACUCCUUGGAGUGAUUCCCAAGGAUGGACACAGCAGAAAAAGUAAAAAAGAGAAUUUGGUGAGAAAUAAUUCUGUGGCUUGUUCCAGGCAUUGUCUACAGGAAACUGAUAAAAUGCUGGUGGAAAUAUUGAUUAAAGUUGAUAACAGUUGACCUCUGUUUUUCAAAGCAGUUCAUAGGUCAGUUAGCUUAUAAGAAUCAGAUAAUCUUGUUGGUUCUUUCUGGAUUUUUAGUUUUUAUUUCCCACACAUUUUGGUUUGAAGGGUACAGAAGUGUCAUUCACAGAUCACUUCUCAGAUGGAGAACAGGAGCUUUCUUACACAGAAGACACAUUUAUCUCCAAAGCUGUCUCUUUUGGUGCAUUCCAAGCAGCCAGUUUAUCACAACAUGGUCGAUGUAGUAUUUUCACCUCCAUCAGUAAGUUAGCAAUAUCCCUCCAGAUAUUUCUGACCUUGUGUGUAUUGGUUAUAAAAAAAGUCAUCUUUUUUGGCAUUUAGUGAAAGAGGUUACUAUUGCUUUUCAGACAAAAUAAAGAAUACGUGCUUUAGCUGUUUUGUAACUAA